AAUAAUAGAGUAACUAAAAAAAAAACUGCAAUCACAUAGUAACGCAAGAACAAUCGCUUUGCCCUAACCCCCAAAUUGAAAUUGAAAAUGAAGAAUAAUCGCUGCAUAUGAACGGAACGAAAACGAAGAUGAAACUGACGAACACCAAGAAGAAGGAAAUGGUGAACUCGAAGAAAGAAACGACGAAGAAGAAGAACGAAAUUGUGAAGACGAAGAAGAACAAAACUGAGUCCGUGAGGAGGUAAAG
rnacentral:lncRNA from 1 species